rnacentral:rRNA from 1 species
AUUGAACGCUGGCGGCAGGCCUAACACAUGCAAGUCGAACGAGUGGCGGACGGGUGAGUAAUGUCUGUGAAACUGCCUGAUGGAUGGGGAUAACCACUGGAAACGGUAGCUACUACCGCAUAACAUCAGCUGUGCCCAGAGGGUCUUAGCUAGUUGGUGGGGUAACGGCUAACCAAGGCGACGAGCCCUAGCUGGUCUGAGAGGAUGACCAGCCAAACUGGAACUGAGACACGGUCCAGACUCCUACGGGAGGCAGCAGUGGGGAAUAUUGGACAAUGGGCGAAAGCCUGAUGCAGCCAUGCCGCGUGUAUGAAGAAGGCCUUCGGAUUGUAAAGUACUUUCAGUGGGGAGGCGUUACCCACAGAAGAAGCACCGGCUAACUCCGUGCCAGCAGCCGCGGUAAUAC